UACGAAGGGGGCUAGCGUUGUUCGGAAUUACUGGGCGUAAAGCGCACGUAGGCGGAUACUUAAGUCAGGGGUGAAAUCCCGGGGCUCAACCCCGGAACUGCCUUUGAUACUGGGUAUCUCGAGUCCGGAAGAGGUGAGUGGAAUUCCGAGUGUAGAGGUGAAAUUCGUAGAUAUUCGGAGGAACACCAGUGGCGAAGGCGGCUCACUGGACUGGUACUGACGCUGAGGUGCGAAAGCGUGGGGAGCAAACAGG
rnacentral:rRNA from 1 species